rnacentral:lncRNA from 1 species
ACACACCUCCCUGCAGCCUGGCACUGGAAACUGCUGAGCCAUGCAGGGCAGCCUGGUGGCGGCUAGGACACUUCUGCAGAGGACCUGGAGUUGGGCUGCUCCCGGGGCUCCCAUCUCUUGCUGGGUCUGUUUUCAGGCAGAAGUCCUAGCAGAGUAUGCCCACGCUGGUUAGUGCUGCUGCAAAGAUGAGCCGAAGACCAUGAGAGACCUCCAGGUGGUCCUUCUGGGGAGAAGAAAUGGGUUUUGGCCCCAAAUCCUUCUGCUGCAUUUUUCCCCUAUCCCUGGGAAGCCAUGAGACCUCAAACCUGUGUUCCCAAGGAGGCGAGCUGCUGUUCCCAGGUGAUGAUAUGAUGUGCUUGGGGAAAGUAAGUGGCUGCCAGACAUGGCUGAGAGCUGUUGUCACUGCCGUCAAGUGCAUGUCUCCAAGCCAUAUCACACGGCGUCCCUCGAUGUGAGGCCACAUGGCAAGUGGGCCGUGGAUCUCCCUCUGCCCUUUGCAAGCACGUAAGACAGCAGAUUUUGCAGAUACCUUGUGGCGCAGGGGAAUUUCCUUUGGCCAGGUCUGAAGAAAUAAAGCAGCAGGCACCGAGAACAAAGCCAAGGCUUUCAAAAGACAAGGAGCCAAAAAACUUACUCAAAAUAAAAGUAGUUUUAAAAUGUC